CAUCGCCUCUUGAUUACCAUAAGAGGUCCAGCCUGCCCAGUGACCAAUUUAACGGCCGCGGUACCCUAACCGUGCGAAGGUAGCAUAAUCACUUGUUUCUUAAAUAGGGACUAGUAUCAAUGGCAUCACGAAGACUACACUGUCUCCCCCUUAAAAUCAAUGAAACUGAUCCUCUCGUGAAGAAGCGAGAAUAUAAAUAUAAGACGAGAAGACCCCAUGGAGCUUUAAACGAACCUCAAUUGCUCCCUCCCUAAUCAUAAAAGCUGAGCACCAAUGAUGGAUAGUUUUCGGUUGGGGUGACCGCGGAGUAAAACUAAACCUCCACAAUGAAUGUAAUAAAAUACUAAUAAAAGAACCACAAUUCUUAUAAUCAAAAAUUUGACAUAAAUUGACCCAAACACUUGAUCAAUGAACCAAGUUACCCUGGGGAUAACAGCGCAAUCCACUUUAAGAGCCCCUAUCGACAAGUGGGUUUACGACCUCGAUGUUGGAUCAGGGUAUCCUGGUGGUGCAGCCGCUACUAACGGUUCGUUUGUUCAACGAUUAAAACCCU
rnacentral:rRNA from 4 species